GAGCAGUCUGAUGGAGCACGCCGCGUGAGUGAAGAAGGCUUUCGGGUCGUAAAACUCUGUUGUUGGAGAAGAAUGGUCGGCAGAGUAACUGUUGUCGGCGUGACGGUAUCCAACCAGAAAGCCACGGCUAACUACGUGCCAGCAGCCGCGGUAAUACGUAGGUGGCAAGCGUUAUCCGGAUUUAUUGGGCGUAAAGCGAGCGCAGGCGGUUUUUUAAGUCUGAUGUGAAAGCCCUCGGCUUAACCGAGGAAGUGCAUCGGAAACUGGGAAACUUGAGUGCAGAAGAGGACAGUGGAACUCCAUGUGUAGCGGUGAAAUGCGUAGAUAUAUGGAAGAACACCAGUGGCGAAGGCGGCUGUCUGGUCUGUAACUGACGCUGAGGCUCGAAAGCAUGGGUAGCGAACAGGAUUAGAUACC
rnacentral:rRNA from 1 species